rnacentral:rRNA from 1 species
GACGAACGCUGGCGGCGUGCUUAACACAUGCAAGUCGAACGAUGGAGCCGGAGCUUGCUCUGGUGAAUUAGUGGCGAACGGGUGAGUAACACGUGAGUAACCUGCCCUUGACUCUGGGAUAACUGCUAGAAAUGGUAGCUAAUACCGGAUACGACCCUCGGAGGCAUCUCCAGGGGGUGGAAAGAAUUUCGGGCAAGGAUGGACUCGCGGCCUAUCAGCUAGGUGGUGAGGUAAUGGCUCACCAAGGCGACGACGGGUAGCCGGCGUGGGAGGGUGCCCGGCCACACUGGGACUGAGACACGGCCCAGACUCCUACGGGAGGCAGCAGUGGGGAAUAUUGCACAAUGGGCGCAAGCCUGAUGCAGCAACGCCGCGUGAGGGAUGACGGCCUUCGGGUUGUAAACCUCUUUUAGUAGGGAAGAAGCGAAAGUGACGGUACCUGCAGAAAAAGCACCGGCUAACUACGUGCCAGCAGCCGCAGUAA